CCUACGGGUGGCAGCAGUGAGGAAUAUUGGUCAAUGGGCGGAAGUCUGAACCAGCCAAGUAGCGUGAAGGAUGACUGCCCUACGGGUUGUAAACUUCUUUUAUAUGGGAAUAAAAUGUUCCACGUGUGGGAUUUUGUAUGUACCAUAUGAAUAAGGAUCGGCUAACUCCGUGCCAGCAGCCGCGGUAAUACGGAGGAUCCGGGCGUUAUCCGGAUUUAUUGGGUUUAAAGGGAGCGUAGGUGGAUUGUUAAGUCAGUUGUGAAAUGUUGCGGCUCAACCGUAAAAUUGCAGUUGAAACUGGCAGUCUUGAGUCCGCUGGAGGUGGGCGGAAUUCGUGGUGUAGCGGUGAAAUGCUUAGAUAUGACGAAGAACUCCGAUUGCGAAGGCAGUUGACUGGAGUGGAACUGACACUGAGGCUCGAAAGUGUGGGUAUCAAACAGGAUUAGAUACCCUUGUAGUC
rnacentral:rRNA from 1 species